rnacentral:rRNA from 1 species
CUGCUGCCUCCCGUAGGAGUCUGGGCCGUAUCUCAGUCCCAAUGUGGCCGGCCAACCUCUCAGUCCGGCUACUGAUCGUCGCCUUGGUAGGCCGUUACCCUACCAACUAGCUAAUCAGACGCGAGGCCAUCUCUCAGCGAUAAAUCUUUGACAUAAAUGCCAUGCGACACCUAUGUGUUAUGCGGUAUUAGCAGCCGUUUCCAGCUGUUGUCCCCCUCUGAAAGGCAGGUUCCUCACGCGUUA